UAGAGACCCAACUAGUGAUCAGUCAUGCAUGGCAAGAUAUUCAGUGAGCUCCCCACCCCACCCUGAGUCCCUCCUUCCUCCAAGAAGAACAGUGCUCCAUGUGGAUAUCCCACCAGCCUUGGCCCAGGUUCCUCCCUGAAGAAAAGCUUCCCCAAACAUUCAGCAUACCUUCCCUGUUAUCUCACCCAACCCCUCAAAACCCAGAACAAAAUUAUGGGAGUGAAGAUGUUCCCGGGGCUGAGCCUGCCUUUCCUCUGCACCCAGACACUCAGUGGCCAAUUUCUACGUGAAAGUUGUUGUUCCAGCAGACAAAACCCAAGUGUGCCACAGACCACACCUGUAUAGUCAGUGCCUGGAUCACUCAGACUCUGCUUUGAAGCUUAUUGAGUUUCCCACAUCCACAUGCUCUUUCCUAAGAGACAUCUUCCUUCUGCGCCUAGACUGAGGACAAAGACUGGGACACCUCUGCUGUCGCAGGGAGGGCUCCAUAAAUACCAUGCUUAUGUAGUUUGAUCCCUGAUUCAUGGGCCCAUGACUGGCUAGCAAGGUCCAUACCCCACAGCUGUCCUCCCAGCCUAGCAUCACAGAGCAGGUAUGGAAACUGAAGGAAAACAGCAGCAUGUAGCACGCCAUUUCCCCAUGGGAGGGCACAGAUCAGGGAUGGUGCUCAGGGGUGGUUAGGUCUGGCACUGCCCAGACAGAACAAGGAAACAAAGUUGGUUCUUUAAUGACUGGUUACUGAACAUGGUGCACAUAGAUGUGUCAUGAAAUGACGCCAUUCUACUUUGUAAUUUCUUUUAAUUCAUUCGCUUGGUUUAUAGAGAAAGUAUCUGGAGCGGGGGAUGUAGAGCACUUGCUUAGCAGACAGGAAGUACUCACCACCAGUGUGGGGCAGGGAGAGAUAGAGAGGGAGAAAGAAUUACUCUGCAGUACUAGUGUAUCUUUAACACCCUAAAAACACUUGCUAGCCAUCCCUUUUAAGAAGCUAUCUUAGCAUCAGUACCUUGGCAGGCAACAAU
ensembl:lncRNA